GUCGAACGAUGAAGCCUUUCGGGGUGGAUUAGUGGCGAACGGGUGAGUAACACGUGGGCAAUCUGCCCUUCACUCUGGGACAAGCCCUGGAAACGGGGUCUAAUACCGGAUACGACCUGCCUCCGCAUGGUGGUGGGUGGAAAGCUCCGGCGGUGAAGGAUGAGCCCGCGGCCUAUCAGCUUGUUGGUGGAGUAAUGGCCUACCAAGGCGACGACGGGUAGCCGGCCUGAGAGGGCGACCGGCCACACUGGGACUGAGACACGGCCCAGACUCCUACGGGAGGCAGCAGUGGGGAAUAUUGCACAAUAGGCGAAAGCCUGAUGCAGCGACGCCGCGUGAGGGAUGACGGCCUUCGGGGUUGUAAACCUCUUUCGCAGGGAGAAGCAGAGUGACGUUGACGGGUACCUGCAGAAGAAGCCCUUUGCAUAACUACGUGCCAGCAGCCGCGGUAAUACGUAGGGCGCAAGCGUUGUCCGGAAUUAUUGGGCGUAAAGAGCUCGUAGGCGGCUUGUUGCGUCGGAUGUGAAAGCCCGGGGCUUAACCCCGGGUCUGCAUUCGAUACGGGCAGGCUAGAGUGUGGUAGGGGAGAUCGGAAUUCCUGGUGUAGCGGUGAAAUGCGCAGAUAUCAGGAGGAACACCGGUGGCGAAGGCGGAUCUCUGGGCCAUUACUGACGCUG
rnacentral:rRNA from 1 species